UCCAAAUUGAUCAGCAGCAGCAGAUAUAAAAGAUUCUGGGAUGCAAAUGAUACAAGCAGUCCAAUCAUGAAACUCUUGACAGUGAAGAUAACACCCACAUUAUAGGAACAGCACAAUAACAGUACUUGAGUGUCUCUUGUAAACUAAGAAAAACACCGGGAGUCAUAAAGGUAUUGCAGCUUCCUUGCUAUCAUAUGCUAGAGCUCCCAAGCUCCUGGCUGGUUCACUGAGGACAGAAAACAACAAAGAUUGCAACU
rnacentral:lncRNA from 1 species